rnacentral:rRNA from 1 species
AUUGAACGCUGGCGGCAUGCUUUACACAUGCAAGUCGAACGGUAACAGGCCGCAAGGUGCUGACGAGUGGCGAACGGGUGAGUAAUGCAUCGGAACGUGCCCAGUCGUGGGGGAUAACGCAGCGGAAGCUGUGCUAAUACCGCAUACGAUCUGUGGAUGAAAGCGGGGGACCGUAAGGCCUCGCGCGAUUGGAGCGGCCGAUGUCAGAUUAGGUAGUUGGUGGGGUAAAGGCUCACCAAGCCGACGAUCUGUAGCUGGUCUGAGAGGACGACCAGCCACACUGGGACUGAGACACCGCCCAGACUCCUACGGGAGGCAGCAGUGGGGAAUUUUGGACAAUGGGCGCAAGCCUGAUCCAGCAAUGCCGCGUGCAGGAAGAAGGCCUUCGGGUUGUAAACUGCUUUUGUACGGAGCGAAAAGGCUCUCUCUAAUACAGGGGGCUCAUGACGGUACCGUAAGAAUAAGCACCGGCUAACUACGUGCCAGCCGCCGCGGUAACAC